rnacentral:rRNA from 1 species
UACGUAGGGGGCUAGCGUUGUCCGGAUUUAUUGGGCGUAAAGAGCGUGUAGGCGGCCAUGCAGGUCCGUUGUGAAAACUCGAGGCUCAACCUCGAGACGCCGGUGGAAACCGUGUGGCUAGAGUCCGGAAGAGGAGAGUGGGAUUCCUGGUGUAGCGGUGAAAUGCGCAGAUAUCAGGAAGAACACCCGUGGCGAAGGCGGCUCUCUGGGACGUGACUGACGCUGAGACGCGAAAGCGUGGGGAGCAAACAGG